rnacentral:miRNA from 1 species
UCUGUGAUUUCCCCAGGCUUGGAGAUCGUCACAGCCUGAAUGGAGGCUGGGAUUGAGGAAGGCAGAUCUG